AACCGGAUUAGAUACCCUGGUAGUUCCACGCCUUAAAGAUUGUGACUUGGAGGUUGUUCCCUUGAGGGAGUGGCUUCCGGAGCUAAACGCGUUAAGUCGACCACCUGGGGGAGUACGGCCGGCAAGGUAGAACUCAAAUGAAUUGAGCGGGGGCCCGCACAAGCGGUGGAGCAUGUGGUUUAAUUCGAUGCAACGCGAAGACCUUACCUGCUCUUGACAUCCAGCGAACUUAGCAGAGAUGCUUUGGUGCCUUCGGGAACGCUGAGACAGGUGCUGCAUGGCUGUCGUCAGCUCGUGUUGUGAAAUGUUGGGUUAAGUCCCGCAACGAGCGCAACCCUUAUCCUUUGUUGCCAGCGAUUCGGUCGGGAACUCAAAGGAGACUGCCGGUGAUAAACCGGAGGAAGGUGGGGAUGACGUCAAGUCAUCAUGGCCCUUACGAGUAGGGCUACACACGUGCUACAAUGGCGCAUACAAAGAGAAGCGACCUCGCGAGAGCAAGCGGACCUCACAAAGUGCGUCGUAGUCCGGAUCGGAGUCUGCAACUCGACUACCGUGAAGUU
rnacentral:rRNA from 1 species